UUUUUUUUUUGCAUGUCUUCUUUAGCUUUUUUCUGAUUCCUCUUGAUCUUAUCUUAUAAUGGGAGAUAUCCCCAUCUUAUAGUUCGGCUUUAAUUUUAUGAAUUCACUGUGUACAUUUUUUUAAUUGUUCAAGAAAAACAGCCGUUGAGUUCUUUGUUAAAGAAAAAAGAAAGCCAUGGCGUUGAACGGUGGGCCGAGAUCGGCUUCUAUGCUUCUGACUUCGUCAUCUCAAUCGUUUCUCUCCAAGUCAGCCAAUAGAGGGUUUCAUUCCAAUGGAGUGAAGAGGAUGGGGGGAGGCCAUGCGCAUGGCCAUGAUGAACCAUAUUACCUUCAUACUAACGUUUGGGAAUAAGAUGUCUUUGCAGGCUGCCGAUGUUCCAAACUUGGAUGCGAUAGCAUCAGCGAGAGUUAAUGGCCUCUGGACCCUAUGGCAGUAGGUUUGGGUUGUGGGAGUGACACGGCACAUCUUUCGCGGCUAUGACCCGAGAGUAUAUUACCGAGGGCGAGGUGCAUUUAAGUCCAUGGGGGCUGGGUUGGCAAUGUCACCUGGAGAUAUUGCAUUCAAGAUAUGAUCUAGCUUCUGACUUUAUCACUUACAUGACGGGGACGAUCAUCUUAAAGAUGAUACUUAUUCUUUUUUCCAACAAGUUAAUAUGCCAUCGUUCCGAAUAUUUUCUUCAGAACACCUUGAUGAUUUUGUUUUUGUACAUGAUUACCCAUUCCAAUAAUCUCUUUCCAGUCAAAUUUUGCUACCUCAGAUGAGAAAACUGGCAUAAUUACAAGUAGGAAAGCUGACAGGCAUUUUGAAAAAGACGGGCCUAUACUUUGUGCUGCCCUGGAUAGAAUGAAGCUCCAUUCUUUUCUUGAGUGUGAAGUAAAGAGUUAAGUAGAGAUGUUUUUAAUUGCUGUAAUUGUCAAUUUAUGAAGUUAUAUUCUUCCACUUUGGUUCUGCAGGAUAAAAAAAAGUUUAGCUUACUCAACUAGGUUUUAUUUUCACAUAGCCAUUUUGGUUAUGGACUUUACUUUGAUUGACAGUUUUGAACCUUGAAAUGUCUUAGGCACAAAUGCUUAUAGUUGUUGGCUAGAUGGUCAUGAGAAGGUUUUGUUCUUUGUGAACUCUGUUAAGAAUUGAUUGGAAGCUUUAAGCCCUAUUGUUCAAUAUGUAAUACUAAGCCAUGUACUCAAUCACUUACAGGCAUGCAACAGAACACCAAUGUGGAAUUGUUGUUAAAGGACCAAGACUAAGUGGAAAUAUAUCAGGAACCGACCCAUUGAAGGACAACCGCUUACUUCUGGAAGCCAAGCCUUUAGAUGAUACUGAUGAAGCAAGACACACAGCUGUAGUUGUUAAUAAGUUAUCUAGGGAGAUAUUGAAGAUUUUGGUUUCUCACCCUUUGAGUGCAAAAAGGUUAGCAGAAGGGAAGAACAUCUAACAUUGUCCUUUUAAGAUGUGGUAUCCGAAUUGAGGUGUGUUGUCCUAAAACUUCCCAAAUAUAUAUUCAUUUUACUUCUUUGAAUGUGGAGAAAAAAAUAUCUACAUUUUUCAUUUUGCUACUUGAUGCUAUGUUACUCACACUUGGGGAUGAGUGUUGUUCUAUAUAUUUUUUUAUUUUUAUAAUCACUGAUUCUAAAACUCUUAAUUGAAAAACAACAAACCUUAAUCCUUGCACGGUCUAUAUUUAUUUUACUUC